UUCGUAGUGCGCAAAGGGCGCACGGUGGAUGCCUCGACAUUGUUUGAUGAAGAAGGACGUUGCAGGGUGCGAUAAGCCUCGGUGAGAUCCCAAGCAAUCUUUGACCCGGGGAUGUCCGAAUGGGGAAACCCUUCUCAAUGAGAAUUGAGAAAUCGUACACUGAAUUCAUAGGUGUGCGAAGAAGACCUGGUGAAGUGAAACAUCUCAGUAGCCAGAGGAAAAGAAAAUACUAAUGAUUCCGUUAGUAGUGGCGAGCGAAAGCGGAAGAGCCCAAACCAUUAUGGUGUUGCCGUAUAGAAGAAUGAGUCGCAAGAUUUAUUUGGAAAUCCGGCUUAAAGGUCAGGCCGUUGCCAUAGCGGUGUAGUAAGUAGUACAUGUCAGUUGCCUGUUCAACUGGAUGUGAUGAGGUAAAUAUAAUUGAAGACUCCUGGAACGGAGCACCACAGACGGUGAUAGUCCGGUAAAUGAAAUAUUUUUCUCACACAUGGUGUACGAACUUGAGUACGGCGGUACACGUGAAAUUCCGUCGGAAGCAGUCGCGACUAUGCGAUAAGGCUAAAUACAAACAAUGAUCUAUAGUGAACAAGUACCACGAGGGAACGGUGAAAAGCAGCCCGGUGAGGGCGAUGAAAUAGUCUCUGAAACCGUGUGCCUACAAUGAGCCGGAGUCCGUAAUUUUUCGCAAGAAAAGUUGGAUGACGGUAUUCCUAUUGAAGAAUGAGCCUGCGAGUGUGCUAUGUGUCGCUUGCCUAAGGGCCGCAAGGUCCGGAGGCGUAGGGAAACCAAGUCUGAAUAGGGCGUUUGGUGGCACAUACACGACCCGAAACCGGGUGGGCAACCCUUGUCCAGGAUGAAUCUCAACGAAAGUUGAGAGGAGGUCCGAACCCACGCGCUGUGCAAAACGCGGGGAUGAGAUGAGGGUAGGAGAGAAAUUCUAAUCGAACUCGGUAAUAGCUGGUUCUCCUCGAAAUAGCUUUUGGGCUAGCUGUACAUGUUCCCUCUGGGGGUAGAGCACUGGAUGAGACUAAGGUCCUUCGGGAUACUUAUUUCAAUCAAACUCCGAAUACCAGAGGUCAAAAGUGUGCAAGUCAGACCGUGGGGGCUAAGCUCCACUGGUCAAAAGGGAAACAGCCCUUGAUCGCCAACUAAGGUCCCUAAAUUAUCACUAAGUGUAAAAGGUGGUGUUAAUUCUCAAACAACCAGGAGGUUGGCUUAGAAGCAGCCAUCCUUUAAAGAAAGCGUAACAGCUCACUGGUCAAGAGUUUUCGCGCCGAAAAUGUAUCGGGGCUAAGUGAUAUACCGAAGUUGCGGAUGUCAAUGCUUCGCAUUGAAACGUUCAAGACACAACUACCAAGAUACAAUUUGUUUCUUGGAAAUUGGUAUUUGGAAAUUUCAACGUGAAGCGUUGACGUGGUAGAGGAGCGUUCCGUUCAGCAGCGAAGUGGGACCCGUGAGGGCCCGUGGAGCGAACGGAAGUGAGAAUGCAGGCACAAGUAGCACAUAUGCUGAUGAAAGUUCAGCACGCCGAAAAUCCAAGGUUUCCAGGGCCACGAGAAUCGUCCCUGGGUUAGUCGAUCCUAAGGUCAGCUCCGCGUCAUGCGGGGGUAGCCGAUGGAAGAGCAGGCCAAUAUUCCUGCACUUGGUAACAUUUGUUCAAUCGUAUGCAUCAUAAAGAUAUAAGCGUCCUAUGGCUAUGACGUUUCGCAAGAUGGAGACCAAAGCUACGGCAGAGGUCAACUUAUGUUGGAGUGGUGCCUAGAAAAGCUUUUGAACGCGUGGUGUUAUCAAACCGUACCGUAAACCGACUCAGGUGGAUAGGUCGAGUAGACCAAGGCGAACGAGAGAAACACACUUAAGGAACUCUGCAAUUUAGCGGCCGUAACUUCGGGAUAAGGCCUACCCCACGCAAGUGGGGUCGCAGCUAAAGACUUCAUGCGACUGUUUACCAAAAACACAGCUCUCUGCAAAACCGUAAGGUGAAGUAUAGAGGGUGAUGCCUGGCCAGUGUCAGAACGUUAAGGGGAGAGGUCAUGGACUUCGGUCCGGCAGCCUUGAGCUGAAGCGCUGAUGAACGCCGGCGAUAACUAUAAUCGUCCUAAGGUAGCGAAAUUCCUUGUCGGGUGAGUUCCGACCCGCACGAAUGGCAUAACGGUGUGAAGACUGUCUUAAGUAUGUCCUCGGCGAAAAUGCAAGUGUCGUGAAGAUGCGACGUACCCGCAGUUAGACGAAAAGACCCCGUGAAGCUUUACUACAACUUGAUAUUGACAUAUUGCCUCGCAUGUUUAGCGUAGGUGGGAGCCGCAAGGCGACAAUGAAACACCACUCUUUCGCUGCGAUAUGCCUAAUUUUGUGCCAUGAAUCUGGUGCAGAAAACAGUAUCUGGUGGGUAGUUUAACUGGGGCGGUUGCCUCCCAAAUGAUAACGGAGGCGUUUACAAAGGUAGGCUUAGCUCGGAUGGAAAUCGAGCUGGACGUGCAAACGCAAAAGCCUGCUUUACUGCAAGGGUUACAGCCCGCGCAGUUGCGAAAGCAGAAGUUAGUGAUCCGACUAUUCAAUAUAGGAUGGUAGGAGCUCAACGGAUAAAAGCUACUCCGGGGAUAACAGGCUGAUCGCGCCCAAGCGUCCAUAGCGACGGCGCGGUUUGGCACCUUAACAUAUCGGGGUGCACAAACAGUAAUGUUUAUCCUCAAUCUUUUCGUUAAAGUAUUAUUACAAGAUAGAAUAAGAGACCAAUCGGCUUAUAACGGUGAACCCGUCAGUGGAAGAAACGCCACCCGGCAACACCGUGGGAAGUCCUCCAAUUUUACGUUGGAGUGACCCUGUAACGACUGACCCGAAAGGGGAGGCUUUCAUCGAAAGGUGAAGGCAAUACGCCGACUCUUGCAAAGUUAAACAGAGAUUAUGCGAUCACGAUCCCGCUUCGGUGGGAAAUUCGCUACGAUCCUGUGCAAGAAGAAGAUAUAGUCUACGCCACACGAAAAUGUGGAAUAAAGUACGAUGUCGGCUCAUCGCAUCCUGGGGCUGGAGAAGGUCCCAAGGGUUUGGCUGUUCGCCAAUUAAAGCGGUACGUGAGCUGGGUUCAGAACGUCGUGAGACAGUUCGGUCUCCUAUCUACUGUGGGCGAAGAACAUUGCGAGAACCCAUCCCUAGUACGAGAGGACCGGGAUGGACGAACCUCUUGUGUACCAGCUGUCCUGCCAAGGGCACUGCUGGGUAGCGAAGUUCGGCACGGAUAAGCGCUGAAAGCAUCUAAGCGUGAAGCCGUUCCCAAGAUUAAUGUUCGUAUGAGACUCCUCGUAGACUACGAGGUUGAUAGGCACUAGGUAAAAGGCCCGCGAGGGUUUCAGCCAAGGUGUACUAAUAAGUCGAGCCACUACGGAAA
rnacentral:rRNA from 1 species